UGGGGAAUCUUAGACAAUGGGGGAAACCCUGAUCUAGCCAUGCCGCGUGAGCGAUGAAGGCCUUAGGGUUGUAAAGCUCUUUCAGCUGGGAAGAUAAUGACGGUACCAGCAGAAGAAGCCCCGGCUAACUCCGUGCCAGCAGCCGCGGUAAUACGGAGGGGGCUAGCGUUGUUCGGAAUNACUGGGCGUAAAGCGCACGUAGGCGGAUUAGUCAGUCAGAGGUGAAAAUCCCAGGGGCUCAAACCCUGGAACUGCCUUUGAUACUGCUAGUCUUGAGGUCGAGAGAGGUGAGUGGAAUUCCGAGUGUAGAGGUGAAAUUCGUAGAUAUUCGGAGGAACACCAGUGGCGAAGGCGGCUCACUGGCUCGAUACUGACGCUGAGGUGCGAAAGCGUGGGGAGCA
rnacentral:rRNA from 1 species